rfam:Chelonia mydas contig194996, whole genome shotgun sequence.
UCAAAGGCCUUUCUAAAGGCUACUGUAAAGAACAAUGCAUGCCUUU